AGUGAACGCUGGCGGUAGGCCUAACACAUGCAAGUCGAACGGCAGCACAGUAAGAGCUUGCUCUUACGGGUGGCGAGUGGCGGACGGGUGAGGAAUACAUCGGAAUCUACUUUUUCGUGGGGGAUAACGUAGGGAAACUUACGCUAAUACCGCAUACGACCUACGGGUGAAAGCAGGGGAUCUUCGGACCUUGCGCGAUUGAAUGAGCCGAUGUCGAAUUAGCUAGUUGGCGGGGUAAAGGCCCACCAAGGCGACGAUCCGUAGCUGGUCUGAGAGGAUGAUCAGCCACACUGGAACUGAGACACGGUCCAGACUCCUACGGGAGGCAGCAGUGGGGAAUAUUGGACAAAGGGCGCAAGCCUGAUCCAGCCAUGCCGCGUGGGUGAAGAAGGCCUUCGGGUUGUAAAGCCCUUUUGUUGGGAAAGAAAAGCAGCAGGUUAAUACCCCGCUGUUCUGACGGUACCCAAAGAAUAAGCACCGGCUAACUUCGUG
rnacentral:rRNA from 1 species